AGACUCCAUGUCUAAGUCAUAGAGUCUGUAUUAAGGUGUGGAAAAUGUAAUUUUUGUUUAUUGGAUCGAUCAUGCAGAAGAUUGUCGUUUGGUGAUUGCGAUGAUCUUCUUUUUAUUGUUUCUGCGUUGUGUACGAGCUUUGUAGUAUAUUUUAUCACGAAAUCGCCAAAGGGGGAGAUUGUUAAGGAUUUUAUAGGUUUGCGGAUUUCGUAGAGUUGAAUGGAGUCUUGAAGAGUUGAUCGCGGAUGUUUGAAGAAAAGAUUCAAAUUGAAGAACAA
rnacentral:lncRNA from 1 species